CCCAAUGAUAUCUCUAGAAGACAUCUGAAAGAGAUUAAAGAUUUAUCGGUGAUGGAUGGGGAUGCGUCUGAUUAGCUUGUUGGCGGGGUAACGGCCCACCAAGGCAACGAUCAGUAGGGGUUCUGAGAGGAAGGUCCCCCACAUUGGAACUGAGACACGGUCCAAACUCCUACGGGAGGCAGCAGUGAGGAAUAUUGGUCAAUGGACGAGAGUCUGAACCAGCCAAGUAGCGUGCAGGAAGACGGCCCUAUGGGUUGUAAACUGCUUUUAUAAGGGAAUAAAGUUAGUCUCGUGAGACUUUUUGCAUGUACCUUAUGAAUAAGGACCGGCUAAUUCCGUGCCAGCAGCCGCGGUAAUACGGAAGGUCCGGGCGUUAUCCGGAUUUAUUGGGUUUAAAGGGAGCGUAGGCCGGAGAUUAAGCGUGUUGUGAAAUGUAGACGCUCAACGUCUGCACUGCAGCGCGAACUGGUUUCCUUGAGUACGCACAAAGUGGGCGGAAUUCGUGGUGUAGCGGUGAAAUGCCUAGAUAUCACGAAGAACUCCGAUUGCGAAGGCAGCUCACUGGAGCGCAACUGACGCUGAAGCUCGAAAGUGCGGGUAUCGAACAGGAUUAGAUACCCUGGUAGUCCGCACGGU
rnacentral:rRNA from 1 species